AGUUCAGACUCGUAGCGAAUAGCUCAGUAACACGUGCCCAAACUACCCUUCGGAGCACCAUACCCUCGGGAAACUGAGGCUAAUAGUGCAUCCCACACUCACCCUGGAAUGGCGAGUGUGUCAAACGCUCCGGCGCCGAAGGAUGUGGCUGCGGCCGAUUAGGUAGACGGUGGGGUAACGGCCCACCGUGCCCAUAAUCGGUACGGGUGGUGAGAGCCAGAACCCGGAGACGGAAUCUGAGACAAGAUUCCGGGCCCUACGGGGCGCAUCAGGCGCGAAACCUUUACACUGCACGACAGUGCGAUAAGGGGAUCCCAAGUGCGUAGGCAUAGAGCCUACGCUUUUGUACACCGUAUGAAGGUGCACGAAUAAGGGCUGGGCAAGACCGGUGCCAGCCGCCGCGGUAAUACCGGCAGGCCAUGUGAUGGACGAUUUUAUUGGGCCUAAAGCGUCCGUAGCUGGCCGCACAAGUCCAUCGGGAAAUCCACCCGCUCAACGGGUGGACGUCCGGUGGAAACUGUGUGGCUU
rnacentral:rRNA from 1 species